GACAGAGGGGGCAAGCGUUGCUCGGAAUCACUGGGCGUAAAGGGCGCGUAGGCGGGAUGGCAAGUCGGUCGUGAAAUCUCUCGGCUCAACCGAGAAACGUCGGCCGAUACUGCCGUUCUUGAGGGAUGCAGAGGAGACUGGAAUUCCCGGUGUAGCGGUGAAAUGUGUAGAGAUCGGGAGGAACACCGGUGGCGAAGGCGGCAUCCUGGACCACGACUGACACUGAAAAGCGAAAGCGUGGGGAGCAAACAGG
rnacentral:rRNA from 1 species